rnacentral:rRNA from 1 species
GACGAACGCUGGCGGCGUGCUUAACACAUGCAAGUCGAACGGUAAGGCCCUUCGGGGUACACGAGUGGCGAACGGGUGAGUAACACGUGGGUGAUCUGCCCUGCACUUCGGGAUAAGCCUGGGAAACUGGGUCUAAUACCGGAUAGGACUCCGGACUGCAUGGUCUGGGGUGGAAAGCUUUUGCGGUGUGGGAUGGCGCCGCGGCCUAUCAGCUUGUUGGUGGGGUGAUGGCCUACCAAGGCGACGACGGGUAGCCGGCCUGAGAGGGUGACCGGCAACGCAGGGACUGAGGUACGGUCCAGGCUCCUACGUGAGGCAGCAGUGGGGAAUAUUGCAAAAUGGGCGCAGGCUUGAUGCAGCGACGCCGCGUGAGGGAUGACGGCCUUCGGGUUGUAAACCUCUUUCAGGACAGACGACGCGCAAGUUGCGGUAUGUGCGGAAGGAGGAUCGGCCAACUACGUGCCUGCAGCCGCUGUAA